rnacentral:rRNA from 1 species
UUGGAGGGCAAGUCUGGUGCCAGCAGCCGCGGUAAUUCCAGCUCCAAUAGCGUAUAUUAAAGUUGUUGCAGUUAAAAAGCUCGUAGUUGAACCUCGGGGUCUACCCAUUGGUCAGGCUUAAUUGUCUGCACUGGUGAGAUGGAUCUCUACCUUCUGAGGAACUUUCAUGCCAUUUAUUUGGCGUGAUGGGAAAUCAGGACUGUUACUUUGAAAAAAUUAGAGUGUUUAAAGCAGACUAUCGUCUGAAUACAUUAGCAUGGAAUAAUGAAAUAGGACGGACUGAUUCUAUUUCGUUGGUUUCUAGGAUCACCGUAAUGAUUAAUAGGGAUAGUUGGGGGCAUUAGUAUUCAAUUGUCAGAGGUGAAAUUCUUGGAUUUAUUGAAGACUAACUACUGCGAAAGCAUUUGCCAAGGAUGCUUUCAUUAAUCAAGAACGAAAGUUAGGGGAUCGAAGACGAUCAGAUACCGUCGUAGUCUUAACCAUAAACUAUGCCGACUAGGGAUCGGACGAAGUUAAUUUUAUAAUGACGCGUUCGGCGCCUUACGGGAAAC